UGAUGUUACGUGUGGAUGAUGUUAUGUGUGGGUGAUGUUACGAUCACCUACACAUAACAUCCGCCACACGUAACAUCA
rnacentral:pre_miRNA from 1 species